CAUCGCUUCGACGAAAGUGAGUGUCCUCUUUUGCACAUUUUACUCAGCGAUUACGACUUGUAAACAUCCUGUUUAAGUUCCUCUGGCGGAGCACAAACCCCGAUUUUCGUGACACCCUCGAUUCGAGGGGCGUCCUUCGGCAAAUUCUGCGAGAAGAACUAUUUGAUAAAUCGACAGCAUGGAGGCGAUUAAGAAAAGAAUUGCAGCAUUGAAAAUGGAGAUGGACCGUGCUAAUGAAACGGUAGAUACAAAUGAAGCGAAGGCCCGUCAGGAAAAUUUACGAGCUGAUUUGCUAUUUGAAGAAGUGCGUGAUUUAGAAAGAAAACAUGCUCAGAUGGAACGAGAUUUUGAAGAAACCAAGGCCAACCUUGAAACUCGUUCAGCAGAAUUAGAAAGAUGUGAGAAAGCUUUUGCAAAAGCGGAACAAGACCGAACUUCCAUGACGAAAAGAGUUCAGGAGAUCGAGGAGCAACUUCAGAAAAAGGAAGAAAUGCGUGGAAUAGCUACAAUUAAAUUUGUACGAGCAUCUGAACUCGCCGAUGACGCGAAAAGAAUGUGUAAAGUGCUGGAAGAAAGGAGUAAGCAGGACGAAGAGAGAACGGAAAAACUGUCAAAUGAGCUGAAAGAUGCAAGAUUAAUUGCCGAGGACGCCGACUCAAAAUCUGAAGAAAUUUCGAGGAAGCUGCAGUUUGUUGAAGAAGAACUAGAAGCUGCGGAGGAGAGAGUGAAGACUAGUGAAGCGUCAGUAUUUGUUUUACGGUGUCCAAAGUAUGGGCUAAAAUUAAACUCACAAUCAGGAAGCAGUCCCUGCAUAAGAAAAUUAUUGAACGAGAGGAUGAGCUCUUCAUUGUGCAAAAUAUUGUCAAGUCUUUGGAAGUCUCAGAAGAAAAAGCUAACCGCCGAGUGGAGGAAUUCAAGCAGGAAUUGAAGGAUACGAAACUACAGUUUAAGAUGACAGAAAAGCGAGCUAUACAUGCUGAGAGGACAGUGAAGGCGCUUAUGAGAGAGGUGGACAGAAAAGAAGACGAACUGAGAGAAGAAAAGGAAAAGUACAGGGCGAUGUGCGACGAUCUGGACUUGACCUACGCUGAAAUGACGGGAUUCUAGUGCACAGCAAACUUAAGAUUACUAACUUUUUUACUCUUGCGCUUCUCUUGCGUUCGCUAUUCAAAAUGAAAAUGCUUAUCGCUUUCUUUCGAUACGCUGCUUUCAUGUUUUCUGCUGCGAUAAACUACAAUAGGCACAAAUUUGCUAUAAGAUCAAAGCUUCUAGAGCUUUUGGAUGCUUUGUUUAAGAAUUAGGAGUGCAUCGCGUUUGAUUAUUUUAUUGUUAGCAAUCAUUAUCGCUUCGCUUCAUAUGCUGUUCAGCCAAGAUCAAUUGUCUAUGAAUGAAGGUCAGUUGUUGGUCUGACGAUUUCGUUUAUUUUUCAGGAACAAUCGUGGAAGUCUUGAUACACCAAUCUCGCCCUUAAGGUAUAUAUCAUAUUUUCCUAAAUCUCGUUAGGUUUUUAAUGCUGUACGUAAAUCUGUAUUUUCAAUAAAUACCAUUCAAGAAUCUGAA